UUUCAGGUGGCGAAAGAGAAAAAAAAAAAAAAAAAANGAGAGAAGAGUUAGGGUUUGAUUUGAUUGAGUUACGGCGGCGACUAACUAGGUUAGGGUAUUGAACAAAUCAGAGUCUUUUUGACAGUCCCCCGUUCGACUCAUUCAACACGGUCCUCCUAAAGGUUGUAUUGGAAUGUUUCGACUCAUUCAACACGGUCUUCGUCCCCGAGCUUCAAGUUCUUCGCCCCACCACACACAACAGAAAUUAGGGGAGGAGUAAAAGAUGCACACUAUAUGCAGGACGCAGCAACAACAACGAUGGAAUGUAAAAUUUUUAUAUCCUUUUUUUCUUAAUCUCUGUUAACUUGUGUGUGUGGUAAAAUUAAUCUCAGAACCGUGGACAAGACCACUCAUUAUGCCCUCCUGUAAGUAUAAUUCCCGAUACUUAAAUUUGCUUCUGGAAAUUUAUCAUAGAGCGGUGGAUUCGAGGAGGCUGCUAGCAGCAUAUCAAACUCAGUGGCCAAGGUUGUACAUGAUGAGCUAGUGAAGUUGUGAUGGCUGCUCGAGAAGUAUCUGAGCUACGCUUUGGUAAACCAGGUCUUAAAGCCCUAGAAGACCUUUUCCUAAACAAUUAGACUUGGUGAUAUUAUGUUUUCACGGAUGUUUGAUGAGAUUCAUGCCUUGAAGCAAUUUAAAGUUGCCGCUGAUCUUUUGGCCAAGAAAGAUGAUUUACCUCCACUAUAUGAUAGUUGCUACAUUAAAAAUAAUCAGGUGCGUGUUGUGUUGGCCAUGGAAGAUACAUAACACAAGGAGCCAAGUGAAGGGCCCACAGCUGAUGUUUGUUCUGUUUACUGGUGGACUCAGGAAAGAAGCUGCUUGCAGAGCCAAACUCAAAGGCUAAGGCCCGUGAUUAGAGUUCCUUGUACUCAGAGCUGAAGUCAACGGUGCUCUUCUCCAUCGAGACAUGUAUGUAUGAAGCCAGAACUUAGGAGAGAUUGUGUCUGCUACAUGUCGUUUUUCACACCUUCUUGCUUCCUCUACCCGCAAUCCAGCUUCUAUCUUUCUCCUCCACGCUGAGACGAGAGCUAUGGAGUUUGGUGAAACCGAAGAGUGUUGUUGGCCAUGGAGGAUACAUAUAUCAGAUGGACCCAAGUGAAUAGCCCAGAUGUUUCUUCUGUUGACUGAAGUGUGGCUCAUCACUGCUAUGUUGCAGAUUGUACAUGAUGAUGAGCUUGAAAUUGUGAUGGCUAGUGGAUUCGAGGAAGGAGGCUGCGUGCAGAUAGUUAUAAUGCCUUGUAGGCACCGUGGAUCAUCCCAAAACUAGUUGGAGAUGUCACAUGUCCUCCAAAAGAUGGUCCACAACGUUGCAGCAGCUUCCUGCUCUUAUCAAGCUGCAUCUUUCGUGGCCAUUGUUGAUGAGUGGAAGUGGAAGUUAGGCGUUCUGUUGGCCAAUGAUAGCCAACAAGAAAUUGUUUCCAGAGACAAAAGGGAUCGAUGGGAUUAUGAGCAAAUUUCAAAUCUUGCCAAGAGAAUGGGACUGUACAGUGAGAUUUAUGGGAAGUGGUUGUCGCAAGCGAGGUUUCCUCUACCCAAUUACCGGCCAGAUUAGGAUGACAAUCGACCACAACGAGAGGUGGUACUUCCUUUGAGUUAGCAAAGAAGGGUUCCUGCAGAACACCUUGUGUUACUUUCUCUUAGAAGAAGUUGGUAUUUGAUAAUAUUUGAUCUCACUUCACUUCACUUCACUUCUUCUGAUACUUUGGCUCCCAUCAUCUUCUCCAUGGCAACAUUUGAAGAUCCUAACUUGAUUCUCCCUCACAGUGAUCAUUGUUUGAAUUGCUGCAGCAUGGCCAACUUGUUUUCGUAGCAGAUUGGAGCUCAAAAUCGGACGUGGAGUUAUUGAAUAUGAUGUAGCUUCUGGAAAGAUUAUCAUAGAACCGUGGACAACUCUUAUGCCCUGCCCUGAGGAUCAUCUCAAAACCAGUCAGUUGCAGUCCAAAAGAUGUGGAGUAAUUGAAUAUGAUGCAGCUUUAGGAAAGUUUAUCAUAGAACCGUGGAAAAAACUUAUGCCCUCACCUGUGGAUCAUCUCAAAACCAGUUGGAGAUGUUACGUUUGUCCUCCAAAAGGUCUCUGUGUGUCAAAUGUAAAUGGAAUUUUGGGUGGUGGUUUACUCACUGCCGGAUUAUAUUGUUGUAUUGUUACAGAAUGAGGGGGUGAUGCACACUAUAUGACGCAGCAACAACAACGAUGGAAUGGAAGAUUAAUAUCCUUUUUCUUAAUCUCUCGUGUGUAACGUUAUCACAGAACCGUGGACAAACACACCUAUCCCCUGCCUCCCUGUGGAUCAUCCCAAAAACCAGUUGGAAAUGUUACAUGUCCUCCAAAAGGUGAAACCUCUUUUGUCUCCACAGACAGAAAUCGGGGAUGAUGCACUAUAUGACGCAGCAACAACAACGAUGAAAUGGAAACUUAAUAUUCUUUUUCUUGAUCUCUCUCCAUUGGUUCCUACUAUAGCUUUCCAGGUCUCUGUGUGUCGAAAGUAGAUGGAAGUUUGGGUGCUGGUUUAUAUUUUGAUUGUAUUGUUACACGAGGCUUCCUUCAACAUU